AUUGAACGCUGGCGGCAGGCCUAACACAUGCAAGUCGAACGAGUGGCGGACGGGUGAGUAAUGUCUGGGAAACUGCCUGAUGGAGGGGGAUAACCACUGGAAACGGUAGCUAAUACCGCAUACCAUCGGAUGUGCCCAGGUGGGAUUAGCUAGUAGGGGGGGUAAAGGCGCACCUAGGCGACGAUCCCUAGCUGGUCUGAGAGGAUGAUCAGCCACACUGGGACUGAGGCACGGUCCAUACGCCUACGGGAGGAAGCAGUGGGGAAGAUUGCGCAAUGGGCGCAAGGCUGAUGCAGGCAUGCCGCGUGUAUGAAGAAGGCCUUAGGGUUGUAGAGUACUUUCAGCGGGGAGGCGUUACCCGCAGAAGAAGCACCGGCUAACUCCGUGCCAGCAGCCGCGGUAAUUC
rnacentral:rRNA from 1 species